GAGGAGGAUUGUAAACUCCAAAUGAUAGAAAACUCACAAAUGAAUCUAACAGAUUAUACCGAAAGCAGCAGUGGCCGUUGGAUAGUGCAGCACAAUACCAAUCGGGGGCAUCACUGAAAACAUAAUGGAAUGUUAUAUUGUAAUACUCAAUGCAGUUCUAUGUGGAUUUUCAUUGUGUUGUAAUUUCAAUUUCCAUUGUGAUAUAAAUGUAAUGUGAGAGACAGCAUCAAAAAGAUUUACACA